UCAAAGGAGACUGCCAGUGAUAAACUGGAGGAAGGUGGGGAUGACGUCAAGUCAUCAUGGCCCUUACGACCAGGGCUACACACGUGCUACAAUGGCAUAUACAAAGAGAAGCGACCUCGCGAGAGCAAGCGGACCUCAUAAAGUAUGUCGUAGUCCGGAUUGGAGUCUGCAACUCGACUCCAUGAAGUCGGAAUCGCUAGUAAUCGUAGAUCAGAAUGCUACGGUGAAUACGUUCCCGGGCCUUGUACACACCGCCCGUCACACCAUGGGAGUGGGUUGCAAAAGAAGUAGGUAGCUUAACCUUCGGAGGGCGCU
rnacentral:rRNA from 1 species